rnacentral:rRNA from 1 species
AUUGAACGCUGGCGGCAUGCCUUACACAUGCAAGUCGAACGGCAGCACGGGAGCAAUCCUGGUGGCGAGUGGCGAACGGGUGAGUAGUAUAUCGGAACGUGCCCAGUCGUGGGGGAUAACGCAGCGAAAGCUGUGCUAAUACCGCAUACGAUCUAAGGAUGAAAGCGGGGGAUCGCAAGACCUCGCGCGAUUGGAGCGGCCGAUAUCAGAUUAGCCAGUUGGUGGGGUAAAGGCCCAACAAGGCGACGAUCUGUAGCUGGUCUGAGAGGACGACCAGCCACACUGGAACUGAGACACGGUCCAGACUCCUACGGGAGGCAGCAGUGGGGAAUUUUGGACAAUGGGCGCAAGCCUGAUCCAGCAAUGCCGCGUGCAGGAUGAAGGCCUUCGGGUUGUAAACUGCUUUUGUACGGAACGAAACGGCCCUUUCUAAUACAGGGGGCUAAUGACGGUACCGUAAGAAUAAGCACCGGCCAACUACGUGCCAGCCGCCGCGGUAAUAC